rnacentral:lncRNA from 1 species
UGAAGGAAAAUCCCAGGGUACAAGCAUCAUUCCGUAUAGUGCACAGUUGUGUUUGACUUUUCUGGGGACCUUUCUUAAGAAGGAGUAAAUUGUUUUGCUCCAGCUCUGCAGAGAGAGCCACGUACGUGUCACUGAGGCGUAAGGAGAAUGUGACAAGAACUUUGUUCUUUUACUAAUUCUGACCUCAGAAUCAAAUCAGCUGCCCUCGUGAAUCGUAUCUCUCCAACUGCAUCUUGGCAAGGUAAGGGAAUUUGGCUGCAAUGAAGAGUGAAGGAUUUUUGCAUCUUCCAACUUCAGAAUAGCAAAGAGAGCGCGGAGGCAGAUGGAUGAGAUGAAGAAAUGGCACCCAACUCUGGAUUUGAACAUCUCUUAGACAAGAGGUGGGGGGAAAUAACAAGCCGAGAUAGAAAAGCCAUUUAGUUCUCAUGGCUCUGUUCCAGGACUCUUUAAUUUGCCAGUAGCUGUUUUUCCUGCACAGAUUACAGGAGUAAUUCAUCAGCGAAUGUUUCACUCGGCGGUCUCAUCUAAUGUAAG